AAGUCGUAACAAGGUUUCCGUAGGUGAACCUGCGGAAGGAUCAUUAACACGUAUCCAACGUUAAACCCCCCUGUGAACCUUCAUUGUGCUCCCACGCUUUGUUAGAAAGUGGCAAUCCCUGGUAAAUCAUCGCCGAACAGUUUUGAUUCAGGGACUUCUGCGAAGAGGGUGAAUGAGGGGAGUGCUUGUUGGUGUCUGAAAGUGUCACUAACUCUGUACGAAUGGCGCAGUCACGUUCGCUGGAGGCCGACACGGCCGGCGAUCCCUGAGCUCUGCUCCCUAAUAACCUUUGCAUGAAAACGGGCCUGCGCUUAAUUGUGCGGCCACCAAACUCGAACAACUGUUAACAAUGGAUAUCUUGGUUCUC
rnacentral:misc_RNA from 1 species